CCUGUGAGGGUUGCUGGAGGUAUCAGAAGUGCGAAUGCUGACAUAAGUAACGAUAAUGCGGGUGAAAAACCCGCACGCCGGAAGACCAAGGGUUCCUGUCCAACGUUAAUCGGGGCAGGGUGAGUCGACCCCUAAGGCGAGGCUGAAAAGCGUAGUCGAUGGGAAACAGGUUAAUAUUCCUGUACUCGGUGUUACUGCGAAGGGGGGACGGAGAAAGCUAGGUUAUCCGGGCGACGGUUGUCCCGGUUUAAGCGUGAAGGUGGAUGACUUUGGUAAAUCCGGGUCGUCAUUAACACUGAGGCGUGAUGACGAGUCACUACGGUGAUGAAGUAACCAAUGCUACGCUUCCAGGAAAAGCCUCUAAGCUCCAGGUAACAUCAAAUCGUACCCCAAACCGACACAGGUGGUCAGGUAGAGAAUACUCAGGCGCUUGAGAGAACUCGGGUGAAGGAACUAGGCAAAAUGGUGCCGUAACUUCGGGAGAAGGCACGCUGAUGGUAGGUGAAGUGACUUGCUCACGGAGCUGAAAUCAGUCGAAGAUACCAGCUGGCUGCAACUGUUUAAUAAAAACACAGCACUGUGCAAACACGAAAGUGGACGUAUACGGUGUGACGCCUGCCCGGUGCCGGAAGGUUAAUUGAUGGGGUCAGCCGCAAGGCGAAGCUCUUGAUCGAAGCCCCGGUAAACGGCGGCCGUAACUAUAACGGUCCUAAGGUAGCGAAAUUCCUUGUCGGGUAAGUUCCGACCUGCACGAAUGGCGUAAUGAUGGCCAGGCUGUCUCCACCCGAGACUCAGUGAAAUUGAACUCGCUGUGAAGAUGCAGUGUACCCGCGGCAAGACGGAAAGACCCCGUGAACCUUUACUAUAGCUUGACACUGAACCUUGAGCCUUGAUGUGUAGGAUAGGUGGGAGGCUUUGAAGCGUGGACGCCAGUCUGCGUGGAGCCAACCUUGAAAUACCACCCUUUAAUGUUUGAUGUUCUAACGUGGGCCCGUGAUCCGGGUUGCGGACAGUGUCUGGUGGGUAGUUUGACUGGGGCGGUCUCCUCCCAAAGCGUAACGGAGGAGCACGAAGGUUAGCUAAUCCUGGUCGGACAUCAGGAGGUUAGUGCAAAGGCAUAAGCUAGCUUGACUGCGAGAGUGACAGCUCGAGCAGGUGCGAAAGCAGGUCUUAGUGAUCCGGUGGUUCUGAAUGGAAGGGCCAUCGCUCAACGGAUAAAAGGUACUCCGGGGAUAACAGGCUGAUACCGCCCAAGAGUUCAUAUCGACGGCGGUGUUUGGCACCUCGAUGUCGGCUCAUCACAUCCUGGGGCUGAAGUAGGUCCCAAGGGUAUGGCUGUUCGCCAUUUAAAGUGGUACGCGAGCUGGGUUUAGAACGUCGUGAGACAGUUCGGUCCCUAUCUGCCGUGGGCGUUGGAAGAUUGAGAGGGGUUGCUCCUAGUACGAGAGGACCGGAGUGAACGCACCACUGGUGUUCGGGUUGUGAUGCCAAUUGCAUUGCCCGGUAGCUAAGUGCGGAAGAGAUAACCGCUGAAAGCAUCUAAGCGGGAAACUUGCCUCGAGAUGAGUCUUCCCUGGGCACUAGAUGCCCCUGAAGGGCCGUUGAAGACUACGACGUAGAUAGGCUGGGUGUGUAAGCGUAGCGAUACGUUGAGCUAACCAGUACUAAUGACCCGAGAGGCUUAACCUUACAACACCGAAGGUGUUU
rnacentral:rRNA from 1 species